ACUCAAAGGAAUUGACGGGGGCUCACACAAGCGGUGGAGCAUGUGGCUUAAUUCGAGGCUACGCGCAAAACCUUAUCCCGGGCUUGACAUGCACGGAUUAACCGGCGGAAACGUCGGCCAGGCCGCAAGGUACAACGUGCACAGGUGCUGCAUGGCUGUCGUCAGCUCGUGUCGUGAGAUGUUGGGUUCAGUCCCGUAACGAGCGAAACCCCUGUGAUUAGUUGCCAGCGGUUCGGCCGGGCACUCUAAUCAGACCGCCGGCGUUAAGCCGGAGGAAGGCGGGGACGACGUCAAGUCCUCAUGGCCCUUAUGCCCGGGGCUGCACACGUGCUACAAUGGGCCGGACAAAGCGCCGCAAAGCCGCAAGGCCCAGCUAAUCGCAAAAACCGGUCCCCAGUUCGGAUUGCGGGCUGCAACCCGCCCGCAUGAAGCCGGAAUCGCUAGUAAUCGCGGAUCAGCACUGCCGCGGUGAAUGGGUUCCUGAGCCUUGUACACACCGCCCGU
rnacentral:rRNA from 1 species